CGGAGAUACACAGCAGUUUGCAUGGUAGGCUCUGCAUUUUCAUCAUCCAGCCACAGCAGGAUGAAAACUCAGGUGAGGAGCACACGUGGUCAUAGGUGGUGCUGAGCACUCACUUCCCCAGCGGGUCUGCCAGCUUGGGCUAAAGCGGCGCACUACCAGGUGAAUUUAACAGGUUUGGAAAGCCUCCACAUGACCCAGCAGACAUGCUUUGGAAGUGUGAAAGCGCUGCUGAAGCUGGGCUCCCGUGCAGACUAUGCGUGAUCACGUGGAGCGGCUGGGAAAUUGUUUAACGGUGUCCUCAAUGGGUGGUAAUGGAUUUUCCAACCCCGAGCCGCCUCGGCGGAGUCCGGGUGUAGGUAGGAUUGUGCUGACUCCGCUGUUUCCUUUGGAAGGGAGGGAGAGCAUUUUGCACUUCUUUGCAUCAGGUCAGGAGCUCCUGACUCCGGGCUCCUUGGCCAAGACGUCGCAGUGGCGAUGCGCACCCUGAGCGGGCUGCACCCUGCUGCGCCCUGCGCCUGCACCUGACAGCAGCAUGCAGGCUGCUGCUGCUGCACCUCGGCUGAAAGCAGGCCUCCUUUAGCCCAAGGGCAGCAGAUGUCAUCUACGCUUUUUUAAUUUCCUUGCUUGCAAUGUGGGAGGAACAAGCGUCUCGCCCCUCCCCUUUCUCUGCUGUUUGUUAUGACCUUUUGUUGCAUGCGGCUGACCAAACCGCCCUCUGUGUGCUGGAAGUCCGAGGAGCUGUGUUAAAAUCAUGGAGUUUGGUGGAGCACGGAGCAUGCUCAUUAUACCCAGCUCUUCCAAAUAUAGGUUGCAAUGCCCAGGAAAAGCACCCCCACAGGCAGUGCUGUUGCUUCCCCGAGGGAUUUCAUGCUGGGUCUGCAGGAGUAGGGGCUUGGAUGCUGCUGGCGUGGCUGAGACACCCAUGGGCAAGCCCUUGUCACAGAGCCAAUGGGUUUGGUUUUGCCAAACAAAACGAAAUUUUGCAAUUUUGCUGCAACAUCUUUGGGGAACACCAGAUGAGCUGGGUGAGGCAAGGUGUGGUUGCAAGCCCCUCGGUUGCUUCAAAGUGGCUGAAGAAGUGACAUCCCCAGACAUUCAUAAGGUCCCGUCUGGUGCUGCAGCAGCCAGGAGCGUCACCCUGGGGUGGAGGCAUGUGGCAGCAGACAGCAGCUGGAAGCACGGCCCCCUGGGGUGUCAGUUCAUCCCUUGGGGAGGCAAUUUGCACCAGGGAGCAUGGGUUUGCCUCGGAGGGUACCCUGUUUGCUGCCACAGCAGGAUGACAGCUGAGCCCCAGGGCUUGGUCCCACAGCACAGCCAGAAGCGGUGCCGAAAAAGCCCCCCCCGUCCUCUGGGUAAGUCCCUCCACGCAGGAAAACACCAACACACUGACAGUGAAGCACAUGUUCAAAUGUUUUUCUAAACUCCAUGGCCUCAGGCCAGGAUCUUCAAGGAUAUUGAGCUCCCUGAUUCCCACUGAUUGCACUAAACAGCUUCAAAGGCUCAGGUCUCAGCAUGGAUGGUAACGAGGCCGGGUGGGUUGGAUUCUCUGACUUAGCACUGGAUUGUGAUGCUGACACAUCCUGGAGCUAGUGAGACCUGUUGGCCCGGGGGGUCACCUUCGCAGAGCUGUGAGCUAGCAGCAGCAGCCUGUUUACACGGCUGCGGUUGUCUAAUCUCAACUGUUAUCAUUCAUCUACAUAACUUCUUCACAAGCCUCAAGAUGCUUUAUCUUGCACUGUGAGCUUGAGGUUCUUGUUCCUGACUGCUGAUGCGCCUCCGCUGUUGUGUGGGAAUAACGAGACAGUGCUUGAAUGUGCUCGGCUCUCAGCAGAGCCUAGAAGGGUCUGGGUAGAUGAGGACAGCUCUUGCCUUCACAUUGAGGAGUUCAGGCAACGUCACCUUCAGUGCAUGGCUCUUCACAGCACCUUUGUUCUGCUCAGUGCCUGGCAAAUGGCUGGGUCACCUCCACCCCUUGGUGAUAUUUAAUCAUUAAUUGCAUCUGAGUUUGGAAAGAACCUGCUACAUUUGUAAACUUCCCUUCAUCUGAUAGAUGGCUUUUCUGACUGUGGAGUUCACUGGAGCCCACUGGGUUACCCCUGGCUGUAGGAGGACAACUGGAAGGUGUCCUAUGGAAAAUGGUGGGGGGUUAUGGAGCAGCCUAACGGGGGCACAUUCAGGUCCUGAGGAUGCGUGCAGAUCUGAACAGGAUAGCAUGAUGGGCAUCCCAGGAGGCUGGGAGUGUGAAUUUGGAUCCAAGCACGAGGGCUUACUCACAUCCAUGCGAUAAGAAGGCUGGGGGGAGAGGCACAGGGUUAUUUAUCCAUUUGUUUGGCAGUAGACAAGGCAAUAAAAGGUGCUCUUUUAAAAAGCUCAAAUAAGGAAACCUGAGUCAGAGACAGCCUCAGCCUUCCGAGCUGUGCUGCGCCGAACAGAAUAACUCCUCGCUCUCCGACUUCUUUACGAAUUGCACUCUUGGACUUGCCUCCCACCCAGAUGCACUCCACCCACCAGUACCUCUCUGACCUCAUCUCCCCUCGCCCGUCCCCACCCGCAGACUUGCUCCCGCACUUCUGGCCUCCAGCGGGCAGCUCCUCACAGCUCCUCCACAUCCUCUUGCACCGCUUUGCUCUCGCUUGGUUUUCCAUCCAGUCCCCCUCCCCAGGCGGGCUCUCACCUCCUGCCUGCCUCCCAGCUCUCUGGCUCGGCAGCUUCCUGAUUCUGCCUCUAAAAAUAGUCUCCGUGGCUGGGGAGUUUCCAAACAAACAAGCAAAACAUGGAAGGCUGUCGUUUCCGCUGCUUGUCUUUCGCUUACCUGGAGCUAGAACACACCUUUGGUGCAGAAACAUCACAAUGCACCACACGGAACCGAAGUGGUGAAGCGUGCUUGGCGUGGCCAGGCAGCCACCAGGCUCACGUCCCCCUGAGAUGGUCCCAGCAGGAGCAGGAACACUGUCCUCAGCACCAGCCCUGCUGGAGGCCCUUCAGAGCUGCAGCGAUACCUGGCUGCUGCGUUACUGACAAGGAAAACAAAGCACGGAGGCCUAAGGGAUUGGUGGGCAUUUCUCAUCUGCAUCAGCCUGUCUGAUAAAUCCCACUACCUUUCUCCCCACAAAACAUCCUCUCCAGACAGAAAUAUGACAUGAUUCCCAUAGCUUCUAUGGAUUAUGAGAUUAAUGGAGCAAUCCCCAACCUUUGAUGUGCGGGAAAAUAGCAAGGAAUUGCAACAUCUGCUGCUGCGUUCUUUGCGUCCCAGGGAUGAACAUUGCUGUACAACCUAUACAUCCUUCUCCAUAUUCCCUCUCCAACAGAUGAUUCUUUUAUGCUCACUUCAUUUUUGUGGCCAUCUGACUGUUGUCUUGGGAAGGAUUUGGACUGCACAGCGUCCUUGCCCCAGUUGUCCAUCAGGCUGGUCGCAGCAUCUCAUCAACUGUAUGGCAGAGGAAAGGUCUCUUCUCUUACAGGAAGGUGUCCCACCAGAGGCUUCUAGAAACUGGUGGUAGGCAGAGAAAGUGAGAUAAGCUGUGACAGAACAGGGCAGCUUACCUGGUGCUCACCAGAAGGGGAGGUGGGUGUGGAGCUCACUGAGCUAGACCCAUGCUCCUUUCUCCUGAAAAUCUCCGUUUCUCUAAGUCUCACCCCAUCCCCAGGAGAUAAAACUCCUGCUGAGCUAGGUGACAGUCCUGUGGAAGAGAAAGGAAGUUCCACCUAAGCCCCUGUGCGUGUGGCUGGUGAAGGUUUCUCUGACAGGUGAGAGCCAGCCAAAAGGAAAUACUGAAGUGAAACAUUAAGUGGCUCACAGGAUAGGUGCCUAAACAUGUUGGAGAAGUCAGCUCCAACCGCUGGGUGCGCGGACACCCCGGGACUCCCUGGUGGAGCAGAGAAUGGACAUCCAUUCCCUGCGGCCUGCGUGAGGAUCAACCAAGCUGUCCCCAGAGGCUGCAGCCCAGAGCCCCGAGAAGGAGGGCGGAAAUGCAGAGCCCCAGGAGAUCUCCUGGAGAUGCUGCUACAGCCUCAGCCUGGAGCCCUCCUUCCUCCUCCUUGCCCCGAGGCGAGAGUAGCUGAGUUAGACCAACAGCAAAGCGUGACGUGCUUAGACGCAGCAGGAAAUGGAAGCGGGAGAUAACCCAAAACCUCCUCAAAUUCCCCACUCCUACUCACCCACCUGACUUGAAGAAGUAAAUCAGGACGUAACAUGCAGUUGCUUCUUGUCGAGACCUAGCGUCCAGAUAGCUUGCACAGGGGGCGAGUGCGUGUGUGGUAAUUCGGUGCUUGUGCAGGCAUGAACCCAAGUCCCCUCCUCAUCUGCCGGGUUCAGCGAGGGUCGCAGGAGGAGGAGGAAUUUGCCCCGGCAUGAAGUGCUGCGCAGGAGCCCACUUGCUGCUUUCCAGAGACCUGGAUUUUCCUGGUCCUGCGGCGGGACCCCGCAGCUCACUGCCCUGAAGGAGACGCUUCCCAUGGACGCGGUGGUGCAUGGCCUUUCGGUCACCUGCUGCGUCUCCCCCUCUGCUCUGCUGGGAUCAUGGAAAAUCUUCCAUGGCUGCUUUGUUCAAAGCUGCAUCCUCACUGCCUGCACUGAUGUCCCAACCCACUGCAGACCUGAGUCUCUACUGGGACAGGAGCUCCUGGAGGGUUUCCACAGCAGUGGGAUGGGUGGGAGGAUGCAGGGGGCAAGCAAUGAACAGGGCUCACUGAUGGCCCCCACACAGGGACACCUGUGUGUGUUCAGGGUGUGAUUAGCUGAAGGUGCCCUGUGGCUCCUCAAAGAAGAAGGUGCCCAUAAAUGCAGGAACCAAGCCAGGCCUGGCCUUGGCACCCACACAGUACCUCCACACUGGUCGUUGACCCUAUGCAAAGGAGAAUGAUGCAUGGCAAGGCGAUGGUGUGGCCUCGGUGGGACCCGAGAGCCAGGUCGCACGAAGGGGUAGAGCCCAGAGACACAGCAGGGCUUGGGCUGCUGGGAUUCAGGGCAACAAAACCUCCCACAUCACUUACACAGCAGUGUGGGUGCCCCAUGCUCAUGGCCAGUGCCGCAGCCUGCUGCUUGCUGUUGCUGUUUUUCAGGUUUCGUCUUACUGGAGAAAAAAUUCCUCCUGUUUGGAGGCAGAGCUGAGGGGGCACAGGGUACAAAGCACACGGAGCCACCUAGCACUGGGCUAGUGGCUGGGAAGGGCACAGCAACAGGGCAAGGAAAUUCUCCUUUGUACCCAAACCUCCACCUCCUCCAUGGUCACAAAACCCCAGAGUUGUGUGAAGUUUCCCCAAAUUGAGUCACUGAUGGCAGAGCGCCGCUGAGCAUGGCGCGCACGAGGCACAGGAAAGCAAAUUUCCCUUCGCGGCUUCUUAGACCUUUUAAACAUUUGUUGUGAUUGUGCUACUAAUUAAAUUCAGCUGUUGCAG